CUCCUGUGACAAUGACAUUUUCUUUAGGAGUUCAGCAAAGCUGUCUCACUGUUAACUUUUAAUGAACAUCUUUUCUUCCUUUGAAGCAUAAUUUUUCCCACAGUUACACACAAAUGUAAUAUAACCUGAAUUUGGGCCCCACUGUUCAUUUCAGAGGACUGCUGACUCAAUGGAGAGCUCCCAUGGGAGGUGUGCCAAUAGUUCCUGGGACAAUGAGUGGCACAGAGGAGCCACAGUCGUUAUUUUGGAGCAUUAUUCUUUCUUGGUUUCCACAAUAGCUGGGAUCUCAUAAUUUAACAUUAAGCCUCUUUUCAACUAUAUGGAAGUGUAAUAAGGUGAUUUAGCCAACGUGCCUGUUCGUUGUCCCAAAGAUUCUGUGAUCUAUUAUGCU
rnacentral:lncRNA from 1 species